rnacentral:ncRNA from 1 species
CGGCCGGGACGACCCGGUGCCGUUGACGGGACCACUCCGGGACGACCCGG